GCGGGCGUAGCUCAGUUGGAUAGAGCAGCGGCCUUCUAAGCCGUAGGUCGUGGGUUCGAGUCCCGCCGCCCGCGCCA
rnacentral:tRNA from 1 species